rnacentral:rRNA from 1 species
AACGAACGCUGGCGGCAUGCCUAACACAUGCAAGUCGAACGAGACCUUCGGGUCUAGUGGCGCACGGGUGCGUAACGCGUGGGAACCCGCCCUUAGGUUCGGAAUAACUCCCCGAAAGGGGUGCUAAUACCGGAUAAUGUCUUCGGACCAAAGAUUUAUCGCCUUUGGAUGGGCCCGCGUUGGAUUAGCUAGUUGGUAGGGUAAAAGCCUACCAAGGCGACGAUCAAUAGCUGGUCUGAGAGGAUGAUCAGCCACACUGGGACUGAGACACGGCCCAGACUCCUACGGGAGGCAGCAGUGGGGAAUAUUGGACAAUGGGCGAAAGCCUGAUCCAGCAAUGCCGCGUGAGUGAUGAAGGCCUGAGGGUUGUAAAGCUCUUUUACCCGGGAUGAUAAUGACAGUACCGGGAGAAUAAGCUCCGGCUAACUCCGUG